AUUCGCGCGAUGCUCGACCGGGCAGGCCGCGAUGAAUUCCGAGGACAUGAUCACAUGCCGCUCGACUGAGCGGCACAUGGCGGA
rnacentral:sRNA from 1 species